rnacentral:rRNA from 1 species
AUUGAACGCUGGCGGCAGGCCUAACACAUGCAAGUCGAACGAGUGGCGGACGGGUGAGUAAUGUCUGGGAAACUGCCUGAUGGAGGGGGCUAACUACUGGAAACGGUAGCUAAUACCGCAUACCAUCGGAUGUGCCCAGAUGGGCUUAGCUAGUAGGUGGGGUGAAGGCGCACCUAGGCGACGAUCCCUAGCUGGUCUGAGAGGGUGACAAGCCACACGGGAACUGAGACACUGUCCAGAAUCCUACGGAAGGCAGCAGUGGGGAAGAUUGGACAAUGGGCGCAAGCCAGAGACAGCCAUGCCGGGUGGAUGAAGAAGGCCUUCGGGUUGUAAAGUACUUUCAGCGGGGAGGCGUUACCCGCAGAAGAAGCACCGGCUAAAUCCGUGCCAGCCGCCGCGGUAAUAC